rnacentral:rRNA from 1 species
UACGGAGGGUGCAAGCGUUAUUCGGAUUCACUGGGCGUAAAGGGCGCGUAGGCGGUUUCUUAUGUCAGGUGUGAAAUCCUUCCGCUUAACGGGAGAAGUGCACUUGAAACUGAGAGACUUGAGUAUGGGAGAGGGAAGUGGAAUUCCUGGUGUAGAGGUGAAAUUCGUAGAUAUCAGGAGGAACACCGGUGGCGAAGGCGACUUCCUGGACCAAUACUGACGCUGAGGCGCGAAGGCGUGGGGAGCAAACAGG